ensembl:lncRNA
GUAUAUGACCUAUGAUUUAUUUGGUAUGACUAAUUUUAUUACACUUCAAUUCCAGGCACAAAAUAGUUUUUUAUUUUAAUUGGAGUAGGUGGGAGAAAAAGCAGGGUGAGUGUUUAAAAACAAAACAACUUUUCAUUUACGUUACAAAUCACAAGCUGAAGAUACUCUCCAGCAGAGACUCAGAAGCAGUAUGAUAACUGUUUGGUAAGUAACAGUAAUCCAAUAAAUUGCAAUCCAAAUACAUUAAAAAAAAAGUUCUUUUGUAGAUAUUUCAGAAUCCCAAGCUCUUCCUUACAUUACAGGAAAAAAUGCAAAUAAAUUUAUAUUUGAGGCAAUAUGACAAUUCACAUCUUUCUCGGGAUAGACCAUACCAGGCCCCUCAGACGGCAGGAUGUUAAUCUAUCUUGUCUGCCCAUUCCAUGAGGCCACUCAAAACAUCCUGAACUGUCAAAGAACCUAACUCUUGGGUUGUUCUUAACAAUUUUGGAUAUUUCAUGGAUUUCUGGGAGUCACUUUCCAGUUUUCAUAUCACAUAAAUGGAGAGAGAGGGGCCAUUUCCCAUGCGUGCUGGGAAAUUUCAUGUGAAAUCCCUUCCUGGAUUCAUUCUAGGAGUUUCCAGCUUUUCUGCAUCUCUUGAAUCCAAGGGCUUUCCAGGUGGUGCCUAGUGGUAAAGAACCUGCCUGCCAAAGCAGGAGACACCGGAGACAUGGGUUUGAUCCCUGGGUUGGGAAGAUCCCACUGGAGGAAGGAAAUGGCAACCCACUUCAGUAUUUUUGCCAGGAUAAUCCUGUGGACAGAGGAGCCUGGUGGGUUAUCAUCCAUGGGGUCGCAGAGAGUCAGAGACGACUGAAACAACACGCAUGCACCACUUGAUUCCAAAUGCUUUAAAGGGACGUGCAGAGCAAGAGGCAAAAAAAGAUAGUUUGAGAUGUGAAGUUCACACGCAGGUGCACUGCCCCUCUGAGCUCAGCAACUGCGGGGCGCGGUACCUUCCAGUCCUUUCCAAGCCACAGAAAGCUUGUUUGGUAAUUCUGCAGAUUAAUCACAGCUGACCCUGCUGCUCCACUGCUGAGUUCUACCCAAAUGCCUGCGAAGGCGUCCCAGAGCAGCAGGCUGCCACUGUGAGAGGCCCAGACAGCAGUGAUUCUCAGCACGUUAGCGUCUGCAGGCAGCCCAGCACCCGGGUCGUGGUGACAACCCCAGACACCGAGUGUCCCACCAUCCACACAGGUGGUCACUGCCUCCCUUGGAAGCGGUUUGGGGGAAGACGCAUGGAUGGGGAGACCCGCCGUUCUCGUGGAAGGCUGGGAUACGGGCCUGGAAGCAAAGGCACUGGCCAACACAAAAGGGCAGGGGGCAAACAGGAUGCGUCAUUAACCAGGUAGCGGGUGAACGCUUUAUCUGAGCCCUUGGCUGAAGGGCCUGGGCUUAGGGCACGCACUCCAGGCAGAGGCGAGGCGACCACAGAUGAAGCCUGGCGUCGCAGUGCCACCCUUGUCAGCCAGGUUGCUUGUGUCCAAAGAAGCGGCAGUCCCUUUAACCAGGGUGGUCCAGGCCAGAAGUUGUCUUGAGGCUACUGUGGGCAGCUGCGUCCAUCGCAGCUCAGGACGCAGGGGCGGUCCCAGACCCAGCUGGCCGCAUACAUUCAGCGCAGGCGCACUAGCAGCUGGCCUCCUGCAGAAUCUCAAUUUGGAGACUUUGGGUCACUCGAAAGGCAGCAGGCAGGUUUUCUUAGUCUUGCUGUGACUCCAGCUCCUGCUCCGCCUGGCCCUGGGGGCUGGAGCUACAGCUCCUGCUCAGCCCGGAGAGCCUCCACGAGCUUCUGCUUUACGAAAUUCAGCCCGUUGUGGUACUUAAGUCUGCAAGUGGUCAUGUAUGGAUGUGAGAGUUGGACUGUGAAGAAAGCUGAGCACCAAAGAAUUGAUGCUUUUGAACUGUGGUGUUGGAGAAGACUCUUGAGAGUCCCUUGGACUGCAAGGAAAUCCAACCAGUCCAUUCUAACGGAGAUCAGUCCUGGGUGUUCAUUGGAAGGACUGAUGCUGAAGCUGAAACUCCAGUACUUUGGCCACCUGAUGUGAAGAGCCGACUCAUUGGAAAAGACCCUGAUGCUGGGAGGGAUUGGGCGCAGGAGGAGAAGGGGACGACAGAGGAUGAGAUGGCUGGAUGGCAUCACCGACUUGAUGGACAUGAGUUUGGGUAAACUCGGACAGGGAGGCCUGGCAUGCUGCAAUUCAUGGGGUCGCAAAGAGUCGGACACAACUGAGUGACUGAACUGAACUGAAAGCUUUUAAUUUCUCCAUCAAAUCUGAAUGACAGCCUUGUUGGGUAGAGUAUUCUUGGUUGUAGCUUCUUCCCUUUCAUAACUUUAAAUAUAUCAUGUCACUUCUGUCUGGCCUACGGAGUUUCUGCUGAGAAAUCAGCUCAUAAUCUAUCUUUAGUGGGACUUUGCUUGUAUAUUAUUUGUUGCUUUUCUCUUAUGCUCUUAAUGCUUCUUCUUUGUCUUUAAUAUUUGUCAGUAUGGUUACCAUGUGUCUUGGGCUGUUCCUCCUUGGGCUUAUCCUGCCUGGGACUCUCUGUGCUUCCUGGACUUGAGUGACUGUUUCCUUUCACAUGUUAAGGAAGUUUACAGCUAUUAUCUUUUUCAAAUAUCUUCUUGGGUCCUUUCUCUCUCACUUCUGCUUCUGGGACCCCUAUAAUGUGAAUGUUGGUGUGUUUAAUGUUUUCCCAGACAUCUUUUAGACCGUCUUCAUUUCUUUCAUGGAAACGGCAACCCACUCCAGUGUUCUUGCCUGGAGAUUCCCAGGGACGGUGGAGCCUGGUAGGCUGCCGUCUGUGGGGUCGCACAGAGUCGGACACGACUGAAGCGACUUAGCAGCAGCAGCGGCAUUUCUUUCACUCUCUUUUCUUUCUUUUGUUCUGUGACUGAUUUCCACCAUUCUGUCUUUCAGCUCACUUAUUUGUUCGUCUGCCUCACUUUUUCAGUUGAUUCCUUCUAGUGUAUUUUUCAUAUUGCAGUUACUGUACUGUCCAGCUUUUGUUCUUUAGUUCUUCUAGGUCUGUGUUAGACAUUUCUUGUAUCUUCUCAAUCUGUGCCUCCAUUCUUUUUCUGAGAUCAUGGAUCAUCUUGACAGUCAUUAUUUUGAAUUUUUUUCAGGUAGACCACCAGUCUCCACUUCACUUCGUUCUUCUCCUGGGGUUCUAUCUCCUUCAUCUGGGACAUAUUCCUCUACCAUCUCAUUCUGUCUAACUUUCUGUAAUUGUUAUUUCCAUUCUGCAGGUGGCAGGGUUGUAGUUCUUCUUGCUUCUGUUGUCUGCCCCCCUGGUGGAUAAGGCUAAGAGGCUUGGGCAGGCUUUCUUGGGGGAGGGACUAGUCCUUGCCCACUGGUGGUAGAGCGGGGUCUUGUGUCUCUGGUGGGCAAGGCCAUUUCAGGGGGUGUGUUGAGUGGGCGACUGUGUACUCAGGAAGACUUCACGCCACCUGUAUGUUGAUAGAUGCAGCUAUAUUCCUGUCCUGUUGGUUGGCUGGCAUGAGGCAUCCCAGCAUUGGAGCCUACAGGCUGUUGGAGGAGGCCCCGUCUUGGUGAGAGAAUGGUGGACCCCAGGAGGGCUCAUACCAGUGACUUCUCCCCAAAACUGCUACUUCAGUGUCUGUCCCAGCAAUGAGCCACAGCUAACCCCGCCUCCAUAGUAGAUGCUCAGUACCAACAGGUGGGUCUGACCCAGGUUCUUAUGAGGUCAUUGCUUUUCCCCCCCUGGGUCCUGAUAUGCAUGAGAGCUUGUGUGCACAUUCCAAGAGUGGAGUUUCUGUUUCUGCAAGUCCUGUGGAAUUCCUGCAAUCAAAGGCUGCUAGCCUUCAAAGCUAGGUUCUCUGGGGGCUUCUACCCCUGUUGCCAGACCUCAAGGCUGGGGAUGCUGUCCCGGCACUCAGAACUUUCACGUCUGUGGGAACACUUCUGUGAUACAUUUUGCAGUUUAUGGGUCACCGACCUUGUGGGCGCGGGAUUUGAUUUUAUAAGCAGUUGCAGCAGUCUACUGUCGUGUCGUAGCUGCUGCUUUGUUUUUGGGGGGUAGGUUCCAGCAUUUUUAUGUGGAUUGUUAUUCCUGAGUUGUGAUUUUGGUGUUUUUGUAAGAGGUGAGCUCGCGUUCUUCUACUCCAUCUUGUCCCCUCCUCUCCCAUAUGGGAUGUUUUACUUCACAUUCAUGAAUUCGUCUUUAACUGAUUUCUUAUAUCAAUGUCUUAUUCCAUUUGGGCUGCUAUAACAAACAAUACUGUAGACUGGGUAUUUUAAACAAAUAUUUGUGCCUCACUGUUCUGGAGGCUGGAAAGUCCAAGAUCAAAAUGCCAGCAGAUUUGGUGUCUGGUGGGAACUCACUUCCGGUUCAUAAAAUCUUUUCCUGAAAAAUAUCUGCCUGAAGGCCUCUUCUGCCAGUUUUUCCUAAGCACACAGUGCCUCAUUCCUGAUCUCUACCCUAGACUCUUUGCAGAGUGUGUUGAAGGUCAUUGGCUAAUGACUUCAUCCUUAUAGAGGCAGAUGGCAAGCAAAAGUUUUUAGUUCUUAAAUAUUUGAUGAAAGUAUGAAUUCUUCUGGAUUUCAGAUUUUCAUUGAUGCCAAGGCUUUAGAUUAUGGGUUUGUUCCUUUAAUAGAUGUAGAACUAUUCAGAGUUUCUAUUUGAUUUGGGUAAGUUGAGCCUUCCUUAGGGUACAUUCCAUCUAAAAAUUUAAAUUAAUUGGCUCAAAAUUAUUCAUAGUAAGCUCUUAUGAUUUUUCCAAUAUAGGAUCUGUAAGGUGUUACUUUUUUCAUUCUUAAUUUUGGUUGUUUGUGUUCCCUCUGUCUCUGUGUCCCUCCUUCUCUUUUUCAUACACAUAGCUUCUCUGGGCUCAUCUUGUUCAGGCUGGUCAGUUACAGACUUGGGCCACAUCUAACCUUGAGUCUGUUUUUGUCAAUAAAGUUUUAUUGACACACAGCCACACCUAGUCAUUUAUUGUCUAUGGCUGCUUUCAUUCUGCAAUGCCAGAUAGAGCUGCACAGAGACCACAGGCCUGCCAAGACUAAAAUAAUAAUAAUACACCCGGCCCUUUACAGAAAAAGGAUCUACUUGAACAACUUUCAAAUAUACUAUAAAGCAGUGUUAACAGUAGUUUUCGGGUUGUACAUUACAUCCCAAGGGUUGUUUUUUAUUUUACUUUCUUCUUUGUAGUUUUUGUGUUUUCAAAACCUUUUUAUAUUGAAUAUGUACUGUUUUAUAGGGUUUUUUAUUUUACUUUCUUCUUUGUAGUUUUUGUGUUUUCAAAACCUUUUUAUAUUGAAUAUGUACUAUAUCUAGAAAGAGUCAUAAAGUAAGCCCAUGGCUCACCUUAAUCCAAUGGAUUGUGUGAAUCCAGUUCUAAAGGAUUAAAACACCAUCUUUUUUUCAAUUAAAGUACAGUUGAUUUGUGAUACUAUAUUAGUUUGAGGUGUACACCAUAGGGAUCGAGUAUUUUUAUAGAUUAUAUUCUAAAGUUAUUAUAAG